rnacentral:rRNA from 1 species
GACGAACGCUGGCGGCGUGCUUAACACAUGCAAGUCGAACGGAAAGACGCUGAUUUUGUGGGGUGCUCGAGUGGCGAACGGGGGAGUAACACGUGAGUAACCUGCCCUUGACUGUGGGAUAACUUCAGGAAACUGGGGCUAAUACCGGAUAGGAUCUCCUGCUGCAUGGUGGGGGUUGGAAAGUUUCGGCGGUUGGGGAUGGACUCGCGGCUUAUCAGCUUGUUGGUGGGGUAGUGGCUUACCAAGGCUUUGACGGGUAGCCGGCCUGAGAGGGUGACCGGCCACAUUGGGACUGAGAUACGGCCCAGACUCCUACGGGAGGCAGCAGUGGGGAAUAUUGCACAAUGGGCGGAAGCCUGAUGCAGCAACGCCGCGUGCGGGAUGACGGCCUUCGGGUUGUAAACCGCUUUCGCCUGUGACGAAGCGUGAGUGACGGUAAUGGGUAAAGAAGCACCGGCUAACUACGUG